UACGUAGGGUGCAAGCGUUGUCCGGAAUUAUUGGGCGUAAAGAGCUCGUAGGCGGUCUGUCACGUCGGCUGUGAAAACCCGAGGCUCAACCUCGGGCCUGCAGUCGAUACGGGCAAACUAGAGUACUGCAGGGGAGACUGGAAUUCCUGGUGUAGCGGUGAAAUGCGCAGAUAUCAGGAGGAACACCGGUGGCGAAGGCGGCCAUCUGGACCGCAACUGACGCUGAGGCGCGAAAGCGUGGGGAGCAAACAGG
rnacentral:rRNA from 1 species